rnacentral:lncRNA from 1 species
CCAUAGUAAUCAAAUACUACAAAUUGAGCAGUCACAUGGUGAGGUAAAUUGUGGAACUUUAGAUCCUAUUAGUAAACAACCUCUUGUGUUGUUGAAUACUUCACAACAUAAAGUAAAUUUACCAACACCCAGGUUUAGUAAUUUCUCACCUACAAAAUAAGUUGAUGUAAGUAGGCUACAUGAUGAAAAAGAUCUAUAUGUUCAGAGGCCUUCUGAACCAACCUUGCCUGUGUUAUUUACAGCUGCAAACAGUUCAGCCUCGACAAAGAUGAAAAAGAAGAAACCUGUACAACUGAAUUGUCAGGUAAUUGAUGAGGUUUCGUCCAA